UGCCAGCAGCCGCGGUAAUACGGAGGGGGCAAGCGUUGUUCGGAAUUACUGGGCGUAAAGCGCGCGUAGGCGGUUAGCAUAGUCAGGCGUGAAAUCCCGGGGCUCAACCCCGGAAGUGCAUUGGAAACUGGCGAACUUGAGUACGGGAGAGGAAAGUGGAAUUCCGAGUGUAGGGGUGAAAUCCGUAGAUAUUCGGAGGAACACCAGUGGCGAAGGCGGCUUUCUGGACCGAUACUGACGCUGAGACGCGAAAGCGUGGGGAGCAAACAGGAUUAGAUA
rnacentral:rRNA from 1 species